GAUGAACGCUGGCGGCGUGCUUAACACAUGCCAGUCGAACGGUGAAGGCGGAGCUUGCUCUGCUGGAUCAGUGGCGAACGGGUGAGUAACACGUGAGCAAUCUGCCCCUGACUCUGGGAUAAGCGCUGGAAACGGCGUCUAAUACUGGAUACGAGCUGCGACGGCAUCUUCAGCAGCUGGAAAGAACUUCGGUCAGGGAUGAGCUCGCGGCCUAUCAGCUUGUUGGUGAGGUAACGGCUCACCAAGGCGUCGACGGGUAGCCGGCCUGAGAGGGUGACCGGCCACACUGGGACUGAGACACGGCCCAGACUCCUACGGGAGGCAGCAGUGGGGAAUAUUGCACAAUGGGCGAAAGCCUGAUGCAGCAACGCCGCGUGAGGGACGACGGCCUUCGGGUUGUAAACCUCUUUUAGCAGGGAAGAAGCGAAAGUGACGGUACCUGCAGAAAAAGCGCCGGCUAACUACGUG
rnacentral:rRNA from 1 species